UUGAGGCCUUAGCUUAAUUAAAGUGUUUGAUUUGCGUUCAUUUGAUGUGUAUUAGUAUUACGCAGGUCUUA
rnacentral:tRNA from 1 species